GUCUUUUUGAGUUAUAUUUAAAGUCUGACCUGCCCACUGAAUUAUUUAAAUGGCCGCAGUAUUCUAACUGUGCAAAGGUAGCAUAAUCAUUAGUCUUUUAAUUGAAGGCUGGUAUGAACGGUUGGACGAGGUAUAAGCUGUUUCAUAUAAAUUUAUAAUAGAAUUUUAUAUUUUAGUCAAAAAGCUAAAAUGUAAUUAAAAGACGAGAAGACCCUAUAAAUCUUUAUAGUUGAUAUAAUUUAAAUUUUUUAGAUUUGGUUUAUUUUUAUUAUAGCAAGUAUUUUGUUGGGGUGAUAUUAAAAUUUAAAGAACUUUUAAUUGUUUUAAAUCAUUAAUUUAUGAGUUGUUGAUCCGUUAAUAGCGAUUAUAAGAUUAAGUUACUUUAGGGAUAACAGCGUAAUUUUUUUGGAGAGUUCAUAUCGAUAAAAAAGUUUGCGACCUCGAUGUUGGAUUAAGAUAUAAUUUUAGGUGUAGCCGCUUAAAUUUUAAGUCUGUUCGACUUUUAAAUUCUU
rnacentral:rRNA from 1 species